GACGAACGCUGGCGGCGUGCUUAACACAUGCAAGUCGAACGGAAAGGCCUGCUUUCCCUUGUGGAUUGCGGGUACUCGAGUGGCGAACGGGUGAGUAACACGUGAGUGAUCUGCCCCCAACUUGGGUAUAAGCCUGGGAAACUGGGUCUAAUUCCCGAUAGGACUGCAGGGUGGUGCCUGUGGUGGAAAACGAUUUUCUAGUGGUUGGGGAUGAGCUCGCGGCCUAUCAGCUUGUUGGUGGGGUAAUGGCCUACCAAGGCGGCGACGGGUAGCCGGCCUGGGGGGGUGGACGGCGACAUUGGGACUGGGAUACGGCCCAGACGACUGCGGCAGGCAGCAGUGGGGGAUAUUGGACAAUGGGCGGAAGCCGGAUGCAGCGACGCCGCGUGGGGGAUGACGGCCUUCGGGUUGUAAGCUCCUUUCGACCGCGAGGAAGCCACCUGGUUGGAAGGGUGGUGACGGUAGUGGUAGAAGAAGCACCGGCUAACUACGUG
rnacentral:rRNA from 1 species